UAAUACAGAGAGUGCGAGCGUUAAUCGGAAUUACUGGGCGUAAAGCGCGUGUAGGUGGAUAUUUAAGUCGGAUGUGAAAGCCCCGAGCUCAACUUGGGAACUGCAUCCGAUACUGGAUAUCUAGAGUAUGGUAGAGGGAAGUGGAAUUUCCGGUGUAGCGGUGAAAUGCGUAGAUAUCGGAAGGAACAUCAGUGGCGAAGGCGACUUCCUGGACCAAUACUGACACUGAGACGCGAAAGCGUGGGGAGCAAACAGGAUUAGAGACCCUGGUAGUCCACGCCGUCAACGAUGAGAACUAGCUGUUGGGACCUUGAGUCUUAGUAGCGCAGCUAACGCGAUAAGUUCUCCGCCUGGGGAGUACGGCCGCAAGGUUA
rnacentral:rRNA from 1 species